rnacentral:rRNA from 1 species
AUACGUAGGGAGCGAGCGUUGUCCGGAUUUACUGGGUGUAAAGGGUGCGUAGGCGGGACUGCAAGUCAGACGUGAAAUACCGAGGCUUAACCUCGGGGCUGCGUUUGAAACUGUAGUUCUUGAGUGAAGUAGAGGCAGGCGGAAUUCCUAGUGUAGCGGUGAAAUGCGUAGAUAUUGGGAGGACCACCUGUGGCGAAGGCGCCUAACUGGAACGGACCUGACGGUGAGUAACGAAAGCCAGGGGCGC